GCGGGUGUAGUUUAAUGGUAGAACUAAAGCUUCCCAAGCUUUAAGCGUGGGUUCGAUUCCCAUCACCCGCU
rnacentral:tRNA from 1 species